GACGAACGCUGGCGGCGUGCCUAACACAUGCAAGUCGAGCGGAGUCGAUCGACGGAAGCCUUCGGGCGGAAGAUGGUUGACUUAGCGGCGGAUGGGUGAGUAACGCGUGGGCAACCUGCCUCGAAGACCGGGAUAACAGCCCGAAAGGGCUGCUAAUACUGGGUAUGCUUGUGGCCUCGCAUGGGGCUAUGAGCAAAGGGGAAACCCGCCUUGAGAUGGGCCCGCGUCCCAUCAGCUAGUUGGUGAGGUAACAGCUCACCAAGGCGACGACGGGUAGCCGGCCUGAGAGGGUGACCGGCCACACUGGGACUGAGACACGGCCCAGACUCCUACGGGGGCAGCAGUGGGGGAUCUUGCACAAUGGGCGAAAGCCUGAUGCAGCGACGCCGCGUGAGCGAAGAAGGCCUUCGGGUUGUAAAGCUCUGUCUGGUAGGGACGGAAGGAAGUGACGGUACCGUCCGGACGGAAGCCGACGGCCGUAACUACGUGCCAGCAGCCGCCGGU
rnacentral:rRNA from 1 species